rnacentral:sRNA from 1 species
AUUAAGUGCAAGGCUUAGAUGAACCUCUAGGGGGCAGCAGCAGGACAGUCAUUUCCGAUCACUCAGCCAGACAGAGAGCAGCAGGAGGCCCAAGCAGAAAACAGUUGAACAGAGGCUGGGGUCUGCACUCAGGGGUUUGUUCAAUGUUCAGCAGGUCAGCGAUGGGACUUAGAAAGCCACCGAGGAAUGUGACAGGCAAGACAAGACCUGGAUUUUGUAUUUGGGUUUAAAACCCCCGGAGCAGGGAGACACUAGGUACCCGCAGUUCUCAGCGCUGGACAGUGCAUGUGAGGCGAACGAGAUGAUGCAGCCUUGGAUGCUCAUGGAGAAGCUGUUCUACACAGUUGUAGCUUUAUAACCGUCAUGGACUGAAGGCUGGCUCCCGUUCUAGAAGCCUCAUCCCAGGAAGCAGACUGCUCUUCCAGAGACUGCUACAGCAUGUCAUUGCCCUCCCCACCCUUGAAAGUUAGAAGCUUGGGCAAUUCUUGGCCAAGGAAGGAAAAGACAAGCAUUUUCAGUAAAGCUGCCAUGGACGUAAGAAGUUGUGGGCAUAUUACAUUGGGUUGCUUCUGUUUGCUUAGAUCCUUUGUAUGCAUAACGUGAGGUAGCUCUCCAGGUUUGCUCAGAGGCCAGUUCACACCCAUAUGCUGGAGAGGUAAACUUCAGGUUUCUCUAGGGAAGCCUAGAUAGAGUUCCCUAAAUGUAUUCUAAAUUUUUAAAUUAUAUUUCAUCUAUUUAAUUUAUCCCCUAUCAAUCUAUCGCCUACUUAUCAUCUCUCUUACCUCUCACCUAUCAUCUAUCUUCU